rnacentral:tRNA from 1 species
GCCUUCGUGGUAUAGUGGUCAGCUCGUUCGACGCGUAUUCCAGAGGUCCGUGGUUCGAAUCCCGGCGAGGGCA